rnacentral:rRNA from 1 species
UAGCAUUUCGCUCUUAGAAGUGUGUAUCUCGUGUAUUGUAUUAGUUGAGGUUAAAAGCUUAACUAGCUUAUGUACGUAGUCGAAACUGAAAGGUUGAUCGACCACAAUGGGCCUGAAUAAAGCCCAUGAUGUAAAUUACAGCAGUGAGGAAUAUUGGUCAAUAGCCUAACGGCUGAACCAGCAACUUGGAGGAAUGUAUAGCUAUAGCUAAUUGUAGUAACAAAUGGUUGUUACAAUAUCGAUUAUGUCGAAUAAAGUUCUAGGUAGACUUAUGAUAAUGACAUUGUCUACUUAUGUGUCUUGACCAAAUUACGUGCCAGCAGUCGCGGUAAUACGUAAAAGACUAGUGUUAUUCAUCUUUAUUAGGUUUAAAGGGUACUUAGACGGUAAAUCAAGCCUUAACCGGUACUAAUUUACUAGAGUUACUUGUGAGGGGGCAUAAAAGUACUAAUGGUGUAGAGAUGAAAUUCUAUAAUACCUUUUUUCGAAAGAAAAAGAAUGGCACAAGUAUAGGCGAAAGCAUCCCCUUAUGUGAUAACUGACGUUGAAGGACGAAGGCUUUGUGUCGCGAACAGGAUUAGAUACCCUAGUAGUCAAAGCAGUAAAUGAUGAAUGUCAUAGAUUAGAUAUUUUAAAGUUUAUUCUAUAAACGAAAGUGUAAGCAUUCCACCUCAAGAGUAAUAUGGCAACAUUGGAACUGAAAUCAUUAGACCGUUUCUGAAACCAGUAGUGAAGUAUGUUGUUUAAUUUGAUAAUCCGCAAAAAACCUUACCACAAUUUGAAUAUUUAUACCUUUUCGGUAUACUUACAAGCGUUGCACGGCUGUCUUCAGUUAAUGUCGUGAGAUUU